GUGGGGAAUAUUGGACAAUGGGGGGAACCCUGAUCCAACCAUGCCGCGUGUGUGAAGAAGGCCUUUUGGUUGUAAAGCACUUUAAGCGAGGAGGAGGCUACCGAGAUUAAUACUCUUGGAUAGUGGACGUUACUCGCAGAAUAAGCACCGGCUAACUCUGUGCCAGCAGCCGCGGUAAUACAGAGGGUGCAAGCGUUAAUCGGAUUUACUGGGCGUAAAGCGCGCGUAGGUGGCCAAUUAAGUCAAAUGUGAAAUCCCCGAGCUUAACUUGGGAAUUGCAUUCGAUACUGGUUGGCUAGAGUAUGGGAGAGGAUGGUAGAAUUCCAGGUGUAGCGGUGAAAUGCGUAGAGAUCUGGAGGAAUACCGAUGGCGAAGGCAGCCAUCUGGCCUAAUACUGACACUGAGGUGCGAAAGCAUGGGGAGCAAACAGGAUUAGAUACCCUUGUAGUCC
rnacentral:rRNA from 1 species